ensembl:lncRNA
CGCGGGGCAGCCGCCGCCGGUUGCACCGGGGGGCGCGCGGGAGGGAGGCCGAGGCGGAGGCGGAGGCGGCGGGACGCGCACCNGGGAACCUCCGCCCUGGCCGGCUCGUCGCGGGCGGGAGUUCCCCGGGACUUUGCCCCACGGACGUCGCAGCCCCCCGGAGUGGAGGGGACGCCCCUGCUCUACCGCUGCGACGGGAGCCCGAGCUCAAGAACUGCCUGGAAUCGGCGCCUUUCCCGAAGAAAAGCAAACAGUAACUAACGCGCUCGGGGCCCGCGCAUCCUUCUAGCCCCCUGGGCUCGCAGCCUCCUUCCCAGCCUCCUGCACCCAAACCAACGCUGUGCUUCCAAAGCCUGCCAGAAGCGCCCCAAGGCGCGCGCUUCCCCCCCUCCUUCCGCCUCCCCUCCCUUCCCCUCGCUAGCUUGGCCGGGUUCACCUCACACUGUCACCAAAUAACCUUAUUACCCCUCAGGACAGUCUUCACGAAAGUUGCUUGCCCUGGCACAGCGUUCUGCGCCCAGCUUGCCACAGGACUGGGAUCUGCUCCGAAAAAUGCUUGCACCCAGGAAGCAGGGGUGAUAAUGACCACAUCAUUCCACUUAUACUGCGUGGAUAUCACACUCCAAUGGAGAAGCUCCUCCUGUGUGCUCCUGGAGCGCCCAUCCUCUAUCACAAUGAUGAAUGAUCAUGAACUGCUGCAAGAAGAGAUGAAAGCUGUAAUUGUGGGUAGCUAAACUUCCCAGUAUGCCCCUGGCCUUUCGUCACUCUGCAAAGUGUAAGUAGAGCCCUUCCAAAGGAAUCAUAACACGUGGGGAAGAUUGCCUGUUACUAUCUUUUCUUUGGGUAGAACUAAGAAUGGAGUUUGCCUCUGUGACUUUCCUUCUAAGUUUGCAUCGCCACCCAUUCCCUAUGCCCUGUCCUGCCCCAUUUUUUCUGAUUGAUCCACUUUUGUUAAUGUGUUAAUGUCUGACUUCAUUCAGACAUUACACUAUUUUAACAUUACAAGAUUUUGCUUAUUACAACUUUGAUCCUUCAUAUGUUGGUAUUUAACUUGAAGAAAAUCAGCUUUUUCCCUUACAUACCACAUUCUUCCAGUACUGCACAGUUACAUUUCUCUUCACCUACAUGUCACACAUAGCAUGUAUAUCUAGGUACAGACAUAGAUAUGGAUACAUAUAGCUGUAGAUCACGGACAAGUGUCUAGAAAAUAAUUUCUUUUUUUUUUUAAGAUUUUAUUUAUUUGACAGAGAGAGAGACAGCAAGAGAGGGAACACAAGCAAGGGGAGUGGGAGAGGGAGAAGCAGGCUUCCCACUGAGCAGGGAGCCCAAUGUGGGGCUCCAUGCAGGGCUUGAUCCCAGGACCCUGGGAUUAUGACCUGAGCCGAAGGCAGAUGCUUAAUGACUGAGCCACCCAGGUGCCCCUAGAAAAGAAUUUCUUAAACCAUUCUUGGAAGUAGGGUUCCCUCAUAUUUCUUUAAAUUAGCAGCCUUCAAUACUUAGAGAACUUUCUUACUUACAAAUAUUUAGGAAAAAUUAGGGGUGCCUGGCUGGCUCAAUCAGAAAACUGUGCAACUCUUCUACUGGGUAUUUACCCCAAAGAUACAGACGUAGUGAAGAGAAGGGCCAUA